UGCUGGGCUACCACAUAUGUAUCUGAGCCCCAGGAUUCUUGAGCUUACUGGGGUGCUCCUCUGAAGGAGGGGAGGCUGUAUCUAAUGGUUUUUAAACUGUACUUUGGGUACUUUGCAACCCAGAGCUAUGCCCCAGAAGUGUCCUGCAGACAAAACAUGGCACCUAUAGAAGACUGGACCCUGCCAGACCGGUGCCCCCAAGUCUGGAGGAGGUGCCACUUUUGCAGGCAUGCUCCACAUUUGGCUCAGGUGAAGCCCCACCUGGGAGGGGCACCCUGACUGUAGGAGCGUUGCAGUUGACCCCGCCUUAAACAACCAACUUUCCAGUGGAAUUCCCAGGGUUCCAUUCCAAGUGCUCUGGAAAAAAAAAAGUCCCCUUUUCUUUCCUUCUGGGCUUGGGAGGAAUUUCUUAUACACCCAAGUUAAACGUUUAGUACAAGUAGCAAGGCCCGGUUGAGUUCUGAUCUUGUUGGGAAACUAAUAGGAAGGUUAGGAAGAAAUAUCAGAGUUUGAGUCCACACUUUGGAAGAGAUGGGGGACACCAGGAGCGGGAGGCCAGGAGGGUGGCUAGUGAGAGACAUUCCCCCUCAGACUCAGACCCACUGUCCCUUUCUCUGUUUACUCAGUGGUGGCAGCCAGUCUGACCUUGUCUGCGGUCUGCCUGUCCCUGUGUGUAACUUCCAGUCCACUCUGUGGUGGAUGGUCCUGUGAUAUUUUAGUCCUCAUGGCUGCCUUGUACAAAAUCCGUUAGAAAAGAAAAUGUAAAAUACCCGAUUUCUAACAAGACAAAAAAACAGCAUUACGGAGUUAAAAGAUUUUUACAAUUGGUCUUGAUUUUGAUGUGAGCUGUUUUUAACUCUGAAAUAUUGUCACUUAAAUAAAAACCUUAUUUGCCUUU
rnacentral:lncRNA from 1 species